rnacentral:rRNA from 1 species
UACGUAGGGUGCGAGCGUUAAUCGGAAUUACUGGGCGUAAAGCGUGCGCAGGCGGUUUGUUAAGACAGAUGUGAAAUCCCCGGGCUUAACCUGGGAACUGCAUUUGUGACUGGCAAGCUAGAGUAUGGCAGAGGGGGGUAGAAUUCCACGUGUAGCAGUGAAAUGCGUAGAGAUGUGGAGGAACACCGAUGGCGAAGGCAGCCCCCUGGGCCGACACUGACGCUCAGGCACGAAAGCGUGGGGAGCAAACGAGGAUACGUAA